AAGUUAAACUGCAUCUACAGGAAAUUUAAAACCUCAAAGUUCAAUUUACUCUCUUAAAAAUCAGGUUCAUUGUCAUAGGACUUUUGUUCAAAAACAUAAGUAAAAUUCAAGAAAACAUAAAAUUAUAAUUAAACCAAACAAAUUUAAGCUGAAUGCUAUAGUAAGUAAAAUAUCCAAAUUACAGAACACCUGGCUUGGCGCGGUGGCUCACACCUCAGCACUUUGGGAGGCUGAGGCAGGCGGAUCACCUGUAGUCAGGAAUUCGAGACCAGCCUGGCCAACAUAUUGAAACCCCGUCUCUACUAAAAAUACAAAAAUUGAGGCCAGGUGCAGUGGCUCAUGCCUGUAAUCACAGCACUUUGGGAAGGUGAGGUAGGUGGAUCACCUGAGGUCAGGCUGGUCUCAAUCUCCUGACCUCGGGAUCCAUCUGCCUGGUCCUCCCAAAGUGCUGGGAUUACAGGCGUGAGUCACCGUGCCCGGCGAGAAGCAACUCUUAAAAUACUUUAUUCCUUCCUCUAGGACCCUUUAAAUGGUGAAAAUGGGCAGAUGAAUAGCAAUAAGUGGACCUUUGUUACUCUUCUGAGUUAGAAAAAUUCUAAUUUAGUACACUCUGAACAAAGCUUAUUAUACUUACUUAAGAUGUGUUUUGAUUUGGUGUUCAGAAAGCAACCUGACAAUGAUAAUACUGUAACUAUGAUAAAAUUGAGAAUAAAAAGAUUUUAUUUAGAAA
rnacentral:lncRNA from 1 species